rnacentral:sRNA from 1 species
GUUUAGUCCUGAUAGAGGCAUUUGUUGGAGCUCCUCUCACGAUAGUUAUUGGGAGAGAGCGACUGCCGAAAGCAGGAAAUAGC